UACAGAGGUCUCGAGCGUUGUUCGGAUUCAUUGGGCGUAAAGGGUGCGUAGGCGGCGUGGCAAGCCUGAUGUGGAAUCCCGGGGCUCAACCCCGGAACUGCAUUGGAUACUGCCAUGCUAGAGUACUGGAGAGGAGAUUGGAAUUUACGGUGUAGCAGUGAAAUGCGUAGAUAUCGUAAGGAAGACCAGUGGCGAAGGCGAAUCUCUGGACAGUUACUGACGCUGAGGCACGAAGGCCAGGGGAGCAAACGGG
rnacentral:rRNA from 1 species